GACGCACUUCAAAGUCGAACUGCAAGGGGCACAAGCUACUCUUGAGAUAACAGCCAAUCUGCGGCCUUGAAGAAUCACAAAAAGUAUAGCUUUCAGGUUGCAGCAUUCGGGAUCUGCCCGGAUCUGCGUAUGACACGCAUGGGCAGCGUCGAAAUAGCCUAGACGCACGGUCGGAAUGCCCUGACUGUCUCUAACGAAUUAAUGUUAGAAACGAGCAAACUGAACGAGGCUGUGAAUUCAUAUAGGCGCGCGAUGAGAAGUCCAACGUAGCUAGGUCCAAUUUCGGGCGCAUGUGUUUAACGCUCUUUAGAUAUCGAAGAAAAGUCAGGUUCCAGAGUAAGUGUCCGUUAUCGUCUACGGUUAAAACUGAAGUCCCAUCCAGCCGAGUUCAAGAUUGCCUGCUUCGUCUGAAGCAAAAGAAAAUCUCCUGAACCCACUUCAGUCGGUAUUUGGCAGAGACGCCGCAAUUCUCAACUGGCAGUGAAAUGUCUCCAUAGGCUACUAGACGGCAGGAAUUUGUACCGAGAGAAAGUGCUUCAUGUUCGUACGGCACUUAAAGCGGAGAAUCAGCGACUGAAACGGGUGGAAAUACUGUGAUGAAACUGUUACUCAAUGGUAGUAGUUUUCUAUUUCAAGCCACUGCGAAAGCCGUAACUGCUGUGUUUUGUCUCUGAAAGAGUUCAUGGAUCAGGUUGGUCGCGCACGCCUAGACGAAGCCUAUGGCAAAGCUGCGCCGUCACUUUUGGCCAAUAGGGAGAGACACUUAUCGUCCAGACGACGCCUAUCGUCAGCUGACAGAAUGGACGCUUACAGCUGUCAAAAAUUUAUGUUUAUUGUUUUUUUUUUUUUUUUAUUUGGUUUUAAAGUGAGUUGUA